AUUGAACGCUGGCGGCAGGCCUAACACAUGCAAGUCGAACGCAGUGGGGACGGGUGAGUAACACGUGGGUAACCUCCCAUCAGAGGGGAUAACACUUGGAAAAAGGUGCUAAACCGAUAGUGAUGUAUCAACCCGCGGUGCAUAAGCUAGUUGGUGAGGUAAAGGCUCACCACGGCCCCGAUGCAUAGCCGGGCUGAGAGGGUGAUCGGCCACACUGGAACUGAGACACGGCCCAGACUCCUACGGUAGGCAGCAGUAGGGAAUCGUGGGCAAUGGACGAAAGGCGGACCGAGCAACGCCGCGUGAGUGAAGAAGGUUUUCGGAUCGUAAAACUCUGUUGUUAGAGAAGCGGUAGCUAACCAGAAAGCCACGGCUAACUACGUGCCAGCAGCCGCGGUAAUAC
rnacentral:rRNA from 1 species